rnacentral:rRNA from 1 species
AGCCCGCUCAGAAACUUAAAGGAAUUGACGGGGGCCCGCACAAGCGGAGGAACAUGUGGUUUAAUUCGAUGAUACGCGAGGAACCUUACCCGGGCUUGAAAUGCAUCUGACCGGCCUUGAAAGAGGCACUCCCUUCGGGGCAGAUGUGUAGGUGCUGCAUGGUUGUCGUCAGCUCGUGCCGUGAGGUGUCGGCUUAAGUGCCAUAACGAGCGCAACCCUCAUCAUUAGUUACCAUCAGGUAAGGCUGGGGACUCUAAUGAGACUGCCAUCGUAAGAUGUGAGGAAGGUGGGGAUGACGUCAAAUCAGCACGGCCCUUACGUCCGGGGCGACACACGUGCUACAAUGGCCGGCACAACGGGAAGCGAGUUCGCGAGGACGAGCGGAUCCCUCAAAGCCGGUCGCAGUUCGGAUUGAAGUCUGCAACUCGACUUCAUGAAGCUGGAAUCGCUAGUAAUCGUGGAUCAGCCAAGCCGCGGUGAAUACGUUCCCGGGCCUU